GUGGUUGUGGCUCAGUGGUAGAGCGCUCACCUAGCAUGUGUGAGGCCCUGGAUUCGAUCCUCAGCAUCACA
rnacentral:tRNA from 1 species